CGCUCCUCGUCUGGGAGCCAUGUUGGGGAGGCAGCGGGGGUGAGCGAGCCGGGCCGCCCAAGGGCCAGGGCAGCUGUGCUGAGGGGUGGAACGCGACCUUCGGGGCUCUUCCGCUCAUCCAGUACACAACAGGCUGAAAGCUGUACCGCUCUUGUGUGCCGGCAAGGGCUUGCGUCAGGCGUUCUGGCUCCUGAUGAGCAAAGAAUGAGAGGAGGAAAAUAUACAUAAGGAGCUCCCGGUCUGCUUAAAUCCUCAUUUGGAACCAAAUGUGUAACUACAAGUUAGAGACCUGAACUUUGUCUCCAUUUUACAUAACAGAAUUUAUCACAGCUUGGCUUCUAGGUGGUUGCAGUACAGGCAAGAGAUUUAUCCCAAGAGGUAUUUGUAAUGAAGAAGGUAUCUGGAAGUUGAACAUACACCCGCCAGUUUUCUAGUACUGACCGAGGCUGCAGCUCUGUGACCCUCCUUGCCAGAUUUGUGCACUGCUGGAUCAGCUGACUUUACACAAAAAGCCAGCAGGUACAGCUGCCUCCUUUGAGGCGUUUUGCUAAUUACAGCAUGAUCCUUUUAAUAGCAGUUUCCUGAUUGUCACCUAGAGUCUAUGCUGCCCUGAAUCCCACCCCCUACUCCUUCCCUUUGUGGACCAUCUUUGUUACACGCAGGAUCUGUUAUUAAUGACCUCUAUGGGUUGAAUUUCUCUUUUUCAUGCUUAGUCACCGACAUACAUUUCCCUGGAACAAUACAGCCACGUGAUGGUGCUGACAUCAUAGCUUUAUAUGACUGCCCCCACACUCACUCCUCAAACUGCAACAGCUUGCAGAGUCCCAAAAAUGGGAAAGUUAUUUCUGCUGCAUGCAGUAAUGAGAAAGGCUGCCAUGUAGCAAAAGGUUUGGCAAGGACACUGUCAGCAUUAUUUGUUUCUCUCUUGGGUUCCAAAGAUGAACAUUUCCAUCCUUUGCAGAGGCAGCAUCUGCGAGAAAAGCCAGGAUGAUUCACAGAUGGGAAAAUCUGCAGCAUAGACAGGACUUUGAGCAAGGAAAGACAACGCUUGUGAUUAUCCCUGUGGAUCAUAACCUUUGCCUGCUGAGGAAGAUACUUUCAAAUAUGCCAUCUAACAUUUAACAGUGUUAAUUUCAUAAUGAGUUACAGCACUUUAACAGGUGUUACGGGAACAGGCAGUUCUGUUCCUGUCAACAACAGGAGUCUCCUGUCUGCAGAAUGAGCUAGUACAAAAAGCUAAACUAGCAAAAACUAACACUGGAAAAGGCAGCAAGCAGACUUCUGAAGGUUUAACUCCAUGAAAUCAGCCUGUAGUGGGAUAAAAGCAAGGGUUAGCACUGAACAGAGUAGAGAGGAAGGGGCAGGAGUACCCCUCUUUAAGGAAGAGCUGCUCAUUUUAGCAGUGCAAAACUGCAAUUUAAAAAGCCUUAUCCUUGUAACUGCCAAGCAGUAAUCUCCCUGCAUCUGAACACUGGGUGAAAAGCAUCAAAAGUCAGGAGGAGAUCCAGGAGACAACAAUCACUCUUUAGAACAUUCCUGUGUUACCUAAGUCUGUUACCAGCAUAAAGGUCACACACUCCGUUACUCACACAGACUUCUCUCGUGAGGGUCGUGAGCAAGCAUAUCUGUUUCCUACCCAGUUUCUCCACCUUUUAUGUAAACAGGCAGUACUAUUUCUCCCUUUGGCUUGAGGUUGUCUGAAGACCACCUAGGACUUGUUAGUAUUAUUGCUGUUGGCUAGCCCAGUAGUGUCCACACUCCUACAUUCCUGCAGUACUGGUUGUUGAGGGCCACACAAGCAGGCUAAAAUCCUUGUAGUUUAUUCAUCAAGGUAACUAAGUAAAUACAGUUACUAUUUGGAAGUGAAAAGGUCAGCAGAAGAUGAAACUUGAAACAAAGUCUCAGCCAGAUCCAGUUAAUGUCUGCUUGUGCGAAACAAGUUGAUAGGGAAUAACUGUUUGCUGUCUCUUCCAAAUUAAAGAAAUUAGAAAUAGAAAUAGAACCCCAAAACAAGUAAUCAAAUAAAACUAACAAAGUCCAAGUCAAAACAUGCAAAAAGCAGUGGUUCUUCACCAACUGACAGUGGACCUUUGGCAUAACUUGCUGCAGGAUGCUCUGGAUACAAGAAGUUUAUAUGGCCUCACCCUACAGAGAGUUUUGAACAAGGGAAGAGGAGGAAACGGGAAAAAAGGAGCAAGAGAGGAAAAAAGAGAGACUCCAGUUUAGAGGCUCUGCCUAGCAUUACUGAAGACCCUCUACAAAAACUGCUGUCCCACUUUGCCUGGUUCCACAAGACUUCUUGAAUGGAAGCAGAAAUGCGUCCUCUCCUGCUACUGAACUAUCACUCCUCCCCCUGACAGGGCUCUGUUGUGAGAGGAGUACUAACUAGAUCCACAUUUCACCAUAUCCACACCAGAGAAUUUAUCUCUGAAGUUCUUAUUGAAGUCUGCUGGGGACCGUGCCACCAGUCAUUCCCUUCGGGCAGAGCCUGGCUGGAAUAAAGGGGCCAUCCCUCGGUCACCACGUGCAGAACAAACAAGAGUUCACAGCUACAGCAGAGGUCUGGAGAAAGACGCGGGGAAGGUAUCAUUAAAAGCAUUUGUUUUCCUGCCUGCAACACAGCCUGACCUGGAGAAGGUUAUUUCAGUUUUCUGUGCUUUGUUUUUUCCCUUCUCCAUCAACAAGAGCAGUGUGGGCCUUCCCACCCACGGAGAUGCCACAAAGAUAAAAUUCCCAGUUACUUGUAGAACUGUUGAAAAAAGCACAGGGAGGCAAUAAGAGAAAUACUGAAGAGUUUCACUAACAAAUCAACUAUUUUAAAGCUUCCUGGAGAAAGCAAUUAUGUGGAGCCAGUUACAUUUAUGAGGGGAAACAGACUGUAGGAUGGUAACAGCUCUAUCUUGCAGAGCUGAACCCAGGAUAAUAAAUCUCGAGGAAACAACUGUUACAGGGACAUUUUUGCCAUCCU